GACGAACGCUGGCGGCGUGCUUAACACAUGCAAGUCGAACGGAAAGGCCCUGCUUUUGUGGGGUGCUCGAGUGGCGAACGGGUGAGUAACACGUGAGUAACCUGCCCUUUACUUUGGGAUAACUUCAGGAAACUGGGGCUAAUACCGGAUAGGAGCUCCUGCUGCAUGGUGGGGGUUGGAAAGUUUCGGCGGGUGGGGAUGGACUCGCGGCUUAUCAGCUUGUUGGUGGGGUAGUGGCUUACCAAGGCUUUGACGGGUAGCCGGCCUGAGAGGGUGACCGGCCACAUUGGGACGGAGAGACGGCCCAGACGCCUACGGGAGGCAGCAGUGGGGAAUAUUGCACAAUGGGCGGAAGCCUGAUGCAGCAACGCCGCGUGCGGGAUGACGGCCUUCGGGUUGUAAACCGCUUUCGCCUGUGACGAAGCGUGAGUGACGGUAAUGGGUAAAGAAGCACCGGCUAACUACGUG
rnacentral:rRNA from 1 species